rnacentral:rRNA from 1 species
GUAUGUCUAAGAAGGUUUGUUGUUGGGCUACAACUCCUUCAAACUUAAUCCAACUUUCAACAACGGAUCUCUUGGCUCUCGCAUCGAUGAAGAACGCAGCGAAAUGCGAUAAGUAAUGUGAAUUGCAGAAUUCAGUGAAUCAUCGAAUCUUUGAACGCCCCUUGCGCUCCUUGGUAUUCCGAGGAGCAUGCCUGUUUGAGUGUCAUGAAAUUCUCAACCUUUUCAGCUUUCUUUGUUGAUCAGGCUUGGAUGUGGGAGUAUGCGGGCUUGUCAGAAGUCGGCUCUCCUGAAAUGCAUUAGCGGGACCUUUGUUGCCGGGCUUUGGUGUGAUAAUUAUCUACGCCAUGGUAGUCAAGCAGCAU